AGCGAUAAGGACGAGAAGUGGAAGGGAGUUGAUUAGUGAGAGUGAAAAAAGAGAUGAGAGUAAAAAAAGAGAGGAAGAGAAAAAAGAUGAGGAGAAAAUAAUAGAGGAGAGCAUUGAUGGUGAAGUUGGGGAGUGGAGUGAGGAAGAAGUUGAAAAGAAUGAAAAGAAUGGUGAAGUUGAAAAUAAAGAAAGUCUGGAAAUCGAAAAAAAUAAGAGUGAUGAAGUGAUGGUGGAGGGAGUGAAAAAGAAAAGAGC
rnacentral:lncRNA from 1 species